GGGCUUGAAGCUGCAGGGAACGAUCUAGAGAUGGUGAGGUCAGCAAUGACCCCCUGUGGUAGCUGCUGCAUGGUGUCGUCAGCUCGUGCCGUGAGUUGUCGGCUUAAGUGCCAUAACGAGCGCAACCUCUGUCCCUCUGUGCCAUCUGGUCAUGCUGGGCACUCUGUGGAUACUGCCACCGUAAGGUGUGAGGAAGGUGGGGAUGACGUCAAAUCAGCACGGUCCUUAUGUCCGGGGCUACACACGUGUUACAAUGGGUGGUACAGAGAGUCAAGUGCCGGCAACGUCACUUUAAUCAUGAAAGCCAUCCUCAGUUCGGAUUGGGGUCUGCAACCCGACCCCAUGAAGCUGGAUUCGCUAGUAAUCGCGCAUCAGCCAUGGCGCGGUGAAUACGUUCCCGGGCCUUGUACACACCGCCUGUCAAGCCAUGAAAGCAUGGGGCGCUUGAAGUCCGGACCGCGAGGGUCGGCCUAGGGCGAAACAGGGAUGGGGUUAAGUCGCAACAAGGUAACCUA
rnacentral:rRNA from 1 species